ACAAUGGAGAGUUUGAUCCUGGCUCAGGAUGAACGCUAGCGGCAGGCUUAACACAUGCAAGUCGAGGGGCAGCAUAAGGUGUAGUAAUACAUUUGGUGGCGACCGGCGGAC
rnacentral:rRNA from 1 species